UACGUAGGGUGCGAGCGUUUAAUCGGAAUUACUGGGCGUAAAGCGUGCGCAGGCGGUUGUGCAAGACAGAUGUGAAAUCCCCGGGCUCAACCUGGGAAUUGCAUUUGUGACUGCACGGCUAGAGUGUGUCAGAGGGGGGUAGAAUUCCACGUGUAGCAGUGAAAUGCGUAGAUAUGUGGAGGAACACCGGAUGGCGAAGGCAGCCCCCUGGGUCAAGAUUGACGCUCGAUGACACGAAAGCGUGGGGGAGCAAACAGG
rnacentral:rRNA from 1 species